GUCGGCACCUCCGCGCUGAUCAAAGGCCAUUGAAAAUCAAACUCUGAAUCGGUUCAGAUCAAACACUGCAGACAAGUAUAUUGCAGUCAAAUUGAUUCGAAGUGAAUGUUGAUACAAAACAUACCGAAAUUGUCGCCCUAUCCGAAGUGAAUGUUGAUAGAAUACAUACCUUGACGCAGCCCGUUAUCGGAAGUUGAUUCGGGAGAAGCGGUCCUCCGAUUUUUGUGAAGCGGGAGUUUGGCGCGCGUAGACUACAUUCUUGGGGUUUGGUUGAAAUGAGUUUCCAUCUUUGUAUACUUAAUUGUUUCUUUGAGUUAAUUAUUUGUUGGGUGCUUUUAUCAAGUCGAUGCAUGUUAUGUUUUUCGUAAUGUGUUAUGUGGUAAGCUCUUGGGUGCUCCAAUUUUAGCUGAGAAUUGGAGAUUAAGUUCUUAAAUUUUAUGACUAUUUAGUUAUUGAUGUUUCUUGGGACAAAUGAUUGGUUUCCAGCGGUUAGAGUGACCACAUAGUGAUAGUAGUCAUGCUUUAAGCUGAUUUGCAAAAGAUUGGGUAUUGAAGAGAAUCAAUGUUCUUCUUUCGAGAAUCAACCCUGUGAUGAGAAUGUAGUUUACGAACAUGUGCAAAUAUUAGUGUGUUUUAGACUUCAUCAAUUAUCUGAGUUGAGCUUCAUGUUGCAUUGGGGUUUCUGAGGAGGGAAGCGAAGACAGUUGCUUUUGAUUUGUAUUUUGUUAUGGUCGGUGAUUCUUUCAUGUGACUCGAACUCCACUUUUAUUGUCUUUCCUUGGACACUCAGAUUGAGCUUUAAAGGAACAACUUGUGCGCAACAUGCCUGCCGUUGUGACUUGUGCUUGUGCGCACAUGUGUGAAAGAUAGGUUCAUGUACGAAAACCCAACACAAUGAUCAAGGGCUAGGCCUUUAAAUUCUAAAACACUGGGGCAGCUACUAGUUGUUCUUUUUGUUAGAAGCCCAAACUCGACUUAGCAUAUAUUCUUAGUUAACUAAUGGCCGUUAAUACUCCUUUUGUUUUCAUUUAUAAAUUUUUAUGUGAAGCAUUAAUAACCAACUGGUAUGGAUGUCUUAACAAGCCUAAAUCUGCAUAAGUGCAAGCCUUCAGUGACAAAAUUUUCGGGUUGAAACUCAAAGCUAAAUUCAACUAGAUUUACACUUCAAAAUCAAAACUAAUCUGUAUAGUAUUAUAAAGUACUAGUUGAUUUACCAAAUUAUAUCUAAAGAUCAAAAUGAUAAGAAAAGCGGAAUGAUCAGUCCUUCAAGCUGUCUGAAACUUUUUGUUGCUAUGAUCACACGUCAUUAAUCUAGAAUGUUGAGCUUGUAUCACUCAACUUACAGUCAUGGAUUAGAGGUUUGAGGUUAUUUAGAAUCUGCAGUACUAAAGUGCUAGGUUCAUUUGCUCAUGCCAUUUUAAACUUUACAAAUACAAUUAUGCAAAUAUGAUAUGGUUGACGUAUAGGAGCUGUGUAAAUCACUUUCUUUGAUAUUUUAUGCUAUGGGAGCUGAUUUAUUGCAAAAUUCAUGUGAUGUCAUGCUGAGUCUGUGAUUAUGCUACAGCCUAAAUUUAUCAUACCUAUUAUAUUUGGUGUAACAUUAAGAAAGGUUCUUGAGUCUUGACAGGGGUGGAGCCAGAAAAUUAUGUUUAAAGGGCAAAUAUAAAUAUGAGAGAAUUAUAAGAAUUUGAAGAGGAGCAUUUAGUGAAUAAAUUGACAUAAUAUUUUUUUAUAAUCAGAAUCUAAUAUUGUAAAUAUGUGCUUCUUUUUUGUAUGGAAGUGGCAUUGCACCAAUGACACUUAAAUGUUUUUAUUAGCCUUUUGAUGGAUGCAAUAAUAACCUUCCAUCAACUAGUGAGACAUGCUAUUCAUUUGAUCAUAUUUUUACUGAGAUUAGUGCUACUUUUUUGGAUCAUCUUAGAAGUAAGCAUGUGUAACUUUGUAAGAUUCCUAUCAGAUUUACUUGUCACUAACCAUAUGUGUGUUAUACUAUUAUCUGAAUCCACAAUUUUAUCAUGUACUUAGACCAUGUUAGCGCUGUUUUGUUCAUCUUUUUCAUGAAAUUUUCUUGCAGUAUACAAUUAUUAUGUAUCUGUAUCCUUGUUAUAAUCUUCAGUAGAAUGGGGAAUCGGUUUAGUUGGCAUUUGCAUUAGCAGAUUGUUAUAUUGUGGAUCUCAGAUGGACGACAGUGGGCAUUGCGACAAUGGAAGGCGUCAAACACCUCAGGGUCAGUAGUUGAUGCAGCGAUGAUCUUAACAGGCAACUUGACAGGGGAAACCUGAUUGGAAGGAUAAAGAUCUUGGUCUGAAUCAGGUGGCUUUUGAUGAGUCGACCAUGCCCGUGCCAGUCUGUUCGUGCACUGGGGUCCUAAGACCGUGCUAUAAAUGGGUCAACGGUGGGUGGCAAUCACCAUGUUGCACAACCAAUUUGUCGAUGUAUCCAUUCCCAGCUGUGCCCAGCAAGCGACACGUUCGUGUUGGUAGUAGGAAGAUGAGCAGAAGUGCAUUCAACAAGCUACUCAGUCGACCCGCUGCAGAAGGUUAUGAUUUAUCCACCCCGGUUGAUCUCAAAGAGCACUCUGGGCAAAGCACGGGAGGACAAACCGUUACAUCACCAUCAAGUAAGUAUUCUCAACGAGAGGAUCAUUUCUUAAGAGAAAGUAAAGAAACGAGAUCUUUCUCGAAAAGCUACCCAUCAUUCCUAAUAAUAUUUGGUGUAACACUGGAGAGGUGUAUUCAAUAACUGACUUAGGUAAACAGGAAGGUACACUUCACUUAGUGAUCAUGCUAGAUUGAUGAUACCUAUUUCUUAGUCCUCUAAGGGCUAAAGAUGUGUGAGAUUGUUGAUUAGAUGAAGAAAUGGAAUUUAUGUAGAUGAGAAAUUUACAUCUUGUUUGCAUGUUAGUGGGUAUAAUUGUAAAGUAGAGACAUGAAAUUUUUAAAUGGUAGUAGUAUCUUAUUGUAUCAA